GGGCACAUGGUCUAGUGGUAUGAUAUUCGCUUUGCAUCUUCAACGGUCCCGGCCGUUUAGUGCAAUAUCUGCGAAGGGUCCGGGGUUCAAUUCCCUGUGUGUCCA